CCCUUAGAUGUUCUGGGCCGCACACGCGCUACACUGAAGGAGGCAGCGUGUACUCAUGGAUCGAAAGAUUUGGGUAACCCGCGAAUCUCCUUCGUGCUAGGGAUUGAGGUUUGCAAUUAUCCUUCAUGAACGAGGAAUUCCCAGUAAGUGCAAGUCAUAAGCUUGCGCUGACUACGUCCCUGCCCUUUGUACACACCGCCCGUCGCUACUACCGAUUGAAUGAUUUAGUGAGGACUUCGGACUGGGACCGAUGCGGCUUUCGGGCUGCGUCGGUAUUCUGGAAAGAUGUCCAAACUGUAUCAUUUAGAGGAAGUAAAAGUCGUAACA
rnacentral:rRNA from 1 species